rnacentral:rRNA from 1 species
UGCAGUCGAACGGUAGCAGGAAGUGCUUGCACUUCGCUGACGAGUGGCGGACGGGUGAGUAAUGCUUGGGAACUUGCCUUUAGGUGGGGGAUAACAGUUGGAAACGACUGCUAAUACCGCAUAAUGUCUACGGACCAAAGGGGGCUUCGGCUCCCGCCUUGAGAGAGGCCCAAGUGAGAUUAGCUAGUUGGUGGGGUAAAGGCCUACCAAGGCAACGAUCUCUAGCUGUUCUGAGAGGAAGAUCAGCCACACUGGGACUGAGACACGGCCCAGACUCCUACGGGAGGCAGCAGUGGGGAAUAUUGCACAAUGGGGGAAACCCUGAUGCAGCCAUGCCGCGUGUGUGAAGAAGGCCUUCGGGUUGUAAAGCACUUUCAGUUGUGAGGAAAGGUUGGUAGUUAAUACCUGCCAGCUGUGACGUUAACAACAGAAGAAGCACCGGCUAACUCCGUGCCAGCAGCCGCGGUAAUACGGAGGGUGCGAGCGUUAAUCGGAAUUACUGGGCGUAAAGCGCACGCAGGCGGCUUGUUAAGCUAGAGGUGAAAGCCCCGCGCUCAACGUGGGAACUGCCUUUAGAACUGGCAGGCUAGAGUCUUGGAGAGGGGAGUGGAAUUCCAGGUGUAGCGGUGAAAUGCGUAGAUAUCUGGAGGAACAUCAGUGGCGAAGGCGGCUCCCUGGCCAAAGACUGACGCUCAUGUGCGAAAGUGUGGGUAGCGAACAGGAUUAGAUACCCUGCUAGUCCACACCGUAAACGCUGUCUACUAGCUGUUUGUGUAUUUAAUACGUGAGUA